GGUUGUAAAGCACUUUAAGCAGUGAAGAAGACUCUAUGGUUAAUACCCAUAGACGAUGACAUUAGCUGCAGAAUAAGCACCGGCUAACUCUGUGCCAGCAGCCCGCGGUAAUACAGAGGGUGCAAGCGUUAAUCGGAAUUACUGGGCGUAAAGCGAGCGUAGGUGGCUUGAUAAGUCAGAUGUGAAAGCCCCGGGCUUAACCUGGGAACGGCAUCUGAUACUGUUAGGCUAGAGUAGGUGAGAGGAAGGUAGAAUUCCAGGUGUAGCGGUGAAAUGCGUAGAGAUCUGGAGGAAUACCGAUGGCGAAGGCAGCUUUCUGGCAUCAUACUGACACUGAGGUUCGAAAGCGUGGGUAGCAAACAGGAUUAGAUACCCUGGUAGUCCACGCCGUAAAACGAUGUCUACUAGUCGUUGGGUCCCUUGAGGACUUAGUGACGCAGCUAACGCAAUAAAGUAGACCGCCUGGGGAGUACGGCCGCAAGGUUAAAACUCAAAUGAAUUGACGGGGGCCCGCACAAGCGGUGGGGCAUGUGGUUUAAUUCGAUGCAACGCGAAGAACCUUACCUGGUCUUGACAUAUCUAGAAUCCUGCAGAGAUGCGGGAGUGCCUUCGGGAAUUAGAAUACAGGUGCUGCAUGGCUGUCGUCAGCUCGUGUCGUGAGAUGUUGGGUUAAGUCCCGCAACGAGCGCAACCCUUGUCCUUAGUUACCAGCGGUUUGGCCGGGAACUCUAAGGAUACUGCCAGUGACAAACUGGAGGAAGGCGGGGACGACGUCAAGUCAUCAUGGCCCUUACGACCAGGGCUACACACGUGCUACAAUGGUAGGUACAGAGGGCAGCUACACAGCGAUGUGAUGCGAAUCUCAAAAAGCCUAUCGUAGUCCAGAUUGGAGUCUGCAACUCGACUCCAUGAAGUAGGAAUCGCUAGUAAUCGCGGAUCAGAAUGCCGCGGUGAAUACGUUCCCGGGCCUUGUACACACCGCCCGUCACACCAUGGGAGUUGAUUGCACCAGAAGUGGGUAGCCUAACCUUUUAGGAUGGCGCUCACCACGGUGUGGUUGAUGACUGGGGUGAAGUCGUAACAAGGUAA
rnacentral:rRNA from 1 species